rnacentral:lncRNA from 1 species
UGUGACUUUAUUCAAAUUUAAUAACCAAAAUUCUUUUCUUUCCCUUUCUCCUUUUAUUCCCCCUGUCUCCACAUCUCUACAUCCACCUGCCCCUCCCUUCUCCUGCUGUUAACGACCUUCUCUUCUCUCUCUCUCUCCACCAUAAAACACACCCAAAACACCAUAAAAUCACCCAUCUCUCCCUCUCCAACAUGAAACACACCCAAAACAACACCACGAAAUCACCCAUCUCUCCCUCUCCACCACGGGUCAAUAGAUUACCAGCCAAAACAACUAGCAUUGAUCACCAUUAUCACUCACAUUCUACAUUUAGAGGUAUGUUUAACAUUUUUUCCUCGAUUAAUUUGAUGUAAUUUGUGCUAUGUGUGUUAAUUUGAUUUCAUAUAAUGUUAGGGUUUUGAAUUAUGGAUUUUUGGAAAAUUCAGGGUUUUUUGUAAUUAGGUUAAUUAGAUAUAAUUUGAGUUGAUAAUUAGAUUAUUUUGUAAAAUAAUAAAUGAUUUUAAGUUGUUGAUUGUGAAUUAAUAAAAUUAUUUUGUUAGAGUUAAUUAGGCAAUAUUUGAGAGAGAAUUUUGGGCAUUUGAUGCUUUAAUUGAUGAGUUUCAAUAUUGUCGUCCUCUAAUUAGUAUUGACAACACUCAUCUUUAUGGUAAGUACAAGGUAAAGUUGUUGUUUGUAGUUGCCUAUGAUGUGAAUAAUGGAGUUUCUCUGUUAUAUUUUGCUAUUGUCAAAGAAGAGAAACAAUGUUUGGAGUUGGUUUUUAGAUUUGCUUUGUCGAUAUGUGAUUGACGGUCACAUUAAGUUGUGUAUUAUAUCAAAUAGACAUGCAGUAAUUAAGAAUUUCGUAGCACAAACUUUUCCUAAGCCUAUUGGAUAUUAUUGAUAUUGUUCAUUUUGAGUAACUUCAACAUUAAGUUAAAAUAUGUUGCCUUGAAAAAUAUAAUGUGUACACAUCCUUCAAAACAAGAGUUUGACAUAUUAUAUUAGGAUUUGGUGGAGACAGAUGAUGUGUGGCUUGUUUGUAUCAGUUAUAAUGCAAAUAUUUUUUUUAGGUGUAAUGAUAUUUUGUGGAGCGUAGAAGUUGUGAUGUAUUCUGGCCACUAAAGGUCCUAAUUAAAUUACUUGUUGAUGCAACAACUUCUAGAUCACACGUGAUAUCUCUAUUUGAUCUUGGAGCUGGAUUGUUUUAAUCCGAGACACCUUCAAUAGUUGGUUUUACAAGAGAAGUGCGUGAAUCGAUUAAAAUCAAUGAAGCAAUUAGUACUUGUGAUAAAUGACAACUAUAUCAUCAACCAUGUUCACACCUAAUUGCAUAUUGCAUUUUACAAAAUGUGGAUUAUCUGUAAUUUGUUGAUGAUUUCUAUUACAACUUGUUGUAUAAAAAAUGCUUAUAGUCCUUGUUUUUAACACUUGCUUGGUAUACUAUUGUGAUGUGCAUAUAUUGGUAUAGACAGAUAUAUAUGGAUGUCCAAGUAGAUGGGGAAUGGAUGAAGGUAAAAAAAAAUCCACCCGAUGAAGUGUCAUAAAUACUUAAAUAUUUUUUCAUCUAUGCUAUUUUAACGAUUCUGUUUUACUGUGCUAUGUUAAAAAAAAACUCGGUAAAAUAAUGAUAUUUUACAUUGAAGGGUGUAAUUGACUAACAGAAGUAAAAUUUCAACCUACCAGAGGACAGAAUGCCACACUGGUAUUUUCUCAUUUCAAGUGCUCCAUAAUUUUAUCAUCCUCGAUGGAUAAGGCCAAACUUCCUUGAGCUACAUCUAAUUGCCUUUGGAUGUGGAAUUGCUGAUGCUUGUGCUUUCUUUGGGGUAAAUAGCCAAUACUUAAUGUGGCUCAAUGCAGUCGUCCAUCAAAUUUGAAAAAAGUAGUCGUCUUCCCUUCCUUGUUGCAGUUUGGGUUACUGAAAAGGAAUUGCAAGCAGAGAGCAUGAUCGAACUAUCAUAACAAAGGUUGCUUCAGGAAAAAAACUCGAUGGGUUACAAGAUGCUUCAGAUUCCGAUCAUAUUUGUAUGGCCUCUGCAGCACUAAACAAGUUCGAAACUUCCUAGCAGCUCACAGUUGUUGAAUCUGCUUUCUAUCCUCCUCAAAUUUGCUUCGGAGAGCCAUAAUUUCUGCUAGGAGAUUUAACUAUUAGCAAUGAAGAGAAAUAUUCUGCUCUUUUCUCUUCCAUGCUUCGUAUAUAUCAGGAACCUCCUCAUCGUUAUUUUAACCAG